rnacentral:lncRNA from 1 species
CUCUCGGCUGGCGCCCGGCGGGGCUCCGGGGCUCCGGGGCUCCGGGGCUCCUCUCCCGCCGCCCGGCUCCCCUCGGCCCACGGCAGGGCCCCGGUGUCCUGGGCUGGCAGCGAAGCUCGGAGCUCUGGGCGUGCGGCGGCUGCGGUGGCUCCUGGGCUCCUCCGUCCAACCCGGGCCGCGGAGCCUCUACGCGCACCCCAUCCCCCUCCCGGCUGCGGAGUCUGGCGGCGGCGGGGACUGCUCGGGACCCGGACCCCCGGCGCCUUUCGUCCCCUGUCCCCAUUGUGACCUGUCUCUUGGCCCCGGAGCCCUCCCGCCCCACCCGCGCCGGGGUCUCCAGCGCGAAGGGCUCAGUCUCUGGUGUCCCCGGCCUGGGGCUGGCAAGCUGGGUUAGGAGCUAUGACCUUGGGGCAAAUAGGGAUACGAUCCUAGAGGCGCAGGGGAGCGCGCAGCAUGAGUGCUGAGAGGCACGCGCCCUCUGCUGCACGGCCGUGGAAUAAAACGAGACAACGGCCCCACAGUCCCCUGCCCGCAGCCCACGCUCGGGCGAGCCUGGAGGAUUGCAUUUCCUCGUAGGCUGGCAGAGCCUUACAUGAAGCGCUCAUCUUCUCCUACUUUCCUCCUCUUUAAAAAAUUAACGUGGGUGAGGAGACGUCCUAGUUGAGUACAUAUUGAUUUGAAAUAACCAAAACUUUUAACAAAUCACUUUUCUCAGAAGAAUCCAGUAAGAGAAAGAUAAUUUCUUCCAAAGACAUGAGACGUUCCCUGGCUGGCCAAGAAAAAUUGGCAUCUGGCAUACCUAGGAAUCAUUCAAAAUAGUUUAAUAGGAAGGACAUUUUGAGGCCAGCCAGCAUUAUGACAUUUGUGGGUCCUACGGCAUUUCACCUUGGAAACAUUUUCCUGGGCAUCUAAAAGUAUUGUGGACCUGAGACACUGUGCUUACAGGGCCUACUGGGUUGAUUCUAAAGAAGAAAGAAAAUCUAUAUGCAUGAAAAGAUGUCUUAAAAAGUUUUGAACUACUCAAAGUUAAGAUUUGGGGAAAUAGAAAUAGUAUAUAACUUAAGAAAAUUGCCACUGGCUGUGAACCCCCAUGGCAUUUUCUUUGCACUUUUUUGCUUCUCGUUAGAUUGUAUGUGUUUUUACCAUUUCACACAAACUUUUAAAGAUUAUUCCACGCCGUUAGCUCUGUGCUUCUAUUAGUGUCUCUAUCUCUCUUUCUCUCUCUCUUCCAUCUGAGUACAAUGGCUAGAAAAUAAUACACACUUGAAUGAAUAAAUGUCAUUUAAAUAUUUUAAUAAACAGAAGGAAUAGUACAAUAUAUUUCCCUUGACCAAUGUAUUGUGAUUGCUUUUUUCUUUCUUUUUUUUUAAAUCUUUUGCU